ACUGUGCCAUCUGAAACACAAGUAGACUUAAUAAUAAACACUGUAGUUCCUGGUUGUUUAUUAUGUUUCUAUGACCCAGUUACUCACUGACCUUCAACCUUUUGUCUGAAGGUUGAAGGUUAAAAAUAAAAUCCCCAGAUGACUAUUAAACAUAGAUGUCUAUUUUGAUCCCACAUAACUUUUGAGGUGCAGCAAGAGUCAAUCCCGAGUUUAGGGGGAAAUCGGUGUCAGUUUAACACAUUGCUUUGUUUGUCAGUCCAUCACUGUUUUGCAAUAAGCCGUAGUCAACAAACUGCAACGUAUGUUCGGGACGACAUGAGUCAAAAUGACAAAUUAUGUAAAGCUGAAAGAGGCUGUUCCCGUAGACUGAUCUGAAUAUAUCACAAAGAAACAAAUAACAUCUCGAUUGUGCUACGUGUAUAUUAUCACGUGUGCCCAAGAACAACUUUGACAACAAUGAUAGUUGGGCAGCUUUUAACAUCCUGACCUACUGAUCUGGAAAACAUUGAUAUCGGAUUCUCUGGUGGAGCUCUGGGUGUUACCCUUUGUGUCUACUGAGUCCUUCCCCUUCUGCAACAAGAAAACUCCAUAAAGAAACCUCUGAUUCAUGAUUCCACGACUGGCGACAAUCCUCUUCCUGUGCUGCUACCUGUCCGCCCUCCAACGAAAACAAGCACCUCGUCAUCAUCACCGCGUUGUCUCUCUGGAUUCCCUGGCAACAGUUCUAACCCCACCUGGACCUCAAGAAAUCAAGCCCCAGCACCAGCCUUACUUCCCCCACUGGCGGAUUUAUCUCCACUCCACAAUGCUCCAGAUUCCCCCAGCCGUUCCGGUCCCCGGACAAAGAAGACCCAUUCAUUUCCUUGUGUACA